GUGAAUCUCAGCCGGCCCCAUAAAUCACGCGAGAAGUGCUUAAAAGCCGCCCCCAAAAGUCGGCAAGUUUAGUCAUUUUCGUAAAUUUACAGUGGAAAUUGCGCAUUAUUUCGAAACCGUUUGCGCUAUUUUAAUUCCGCACUGGAAUUCGACCGGUUUGUUCUUAUCUCUGAUUGUCAGGUGAUGCGCGUACAAUAGUAGUGUAUAGUUUUGUACUAUAUACGCGAUCGUGUGAUGGCGUUGCGUGUAUCGUUUGCUCACGCUGCAGGAAUAAAAAUUAGUUUCACCGAAUCCGACGGAUGAUUCGCACGCGGUCGUCGCGAUUCUUCUUUCUUAGGAUUUAAUUCGGUAACGCGUAUUUCUUUCGGUGUUCUUAGUGAUUAUUUUUGUUUAUUGUGUCUCGCUAAUGAUUUAUCGCUUAUAAGAUGUACGCGAAAUGCAAAUAUUGUGUAUUUGUUUGUGAGCGGGGUGCCGACGGAUGCCGUUUACAAUGGAAGUUUUACAAUACUAACCAUAUUUGUCGUGCGUUGGAGUCAAUGAGUUCUGCAUUGUCCUCUCUUUGAUUUCCUGAUGCACUGGUAAGUUUGUAAACGUUAUUAUAUCAUAAUUACAUAUUUAUUUUAAAUCGCAUGUAACGUGAGUACCGUAAUGAAACAAAAUUGAUGCGUGCCGUCGGAUGCGACUUCGAUCUACCCGUAGAGUAUGGUCGUGUCAAUCAUCGGUUUAAUAACGUGAAUUUUUCCUUGCUUGCAUUUUCUUUUUAUUUCAUAAAUCUGCAGGCUCUUUAACGUAUUUUCGUAGUUUGGCAAUUAAUUAUUGAGAGUAAGAUAUAUGUAAAAGACGAUUUAAAUUUCCUUUCGCGUGUGUGCUUUAGUUGCCGUCGGCGGACACAUUUUGCCUUGCUUAUGGCGUAUCUGGAGAAUCCAUCGCAAAGAAAAUUUCUAGCUCUUUAUAAAUGUAAUUGUAUUUUUGUUGUUUCACCCUCUCUAAUCGUGAAUCUAAUUCCAUGCAUGGAAAAUUUUGAAUUUUUUUAUUAAAUGUAGCAAUUUUCUUCUUGAAUCACCCUAUGUAUUAAUUUUCCUUGCUCUCUAAUGUAAAACUGACUAAAUUUAUUGGUUCCGGGUUUUCUAUUUAAACUUUGUAUUUUAUUUUUAAAUGUAGGAAUUUCCUAUUUGUAACACCCUGUAUGUUUGUUUUUCUUGAUUUCCUAUUAUAAGUUUUCUAAAUUUGUUAUUCCCGAGUGUUUUCUUCUUUGAACUAUUGAUUUUCUUUUUGUAACACCCUGUAUAUAUGUUUUCUUUUUGUGUCCGUGAAAAUUUUGCUUUAACUGUCGUCUUUAGUAUUUUCCCAUUUGCACUUUAAAUUUUCUUUCUGGAACACCUUGUAUAUUAGUUUCCCUGAUCGUCGAGUGAAAACGAGCGGCGUUUGUAGUGUCCAGAGUUUUUUGUUUGCACUUAAAAUUUUCUUUUUGUAACACCCUGUAUAUUUAUUUUAAUUUUCAAUAACAUAGAAAAUGAACUAUUUGCUAAUUUCAUUAUUCCGGUAGAACUGUACGAACUUCGAACUACGAAGUGCUACUUGCUUAUAUGUGCGCGGCGUAGCAGGUCGUGUUUCAAUAUGGCGACAUGUAUUCUGCUGAAUUGCAAAGUCUAAACUUGUAUUCUAUUGUUAAUAAAGAAAUAGUAAGAUA